UACGUAGGCAGCAAGCGUUGUUCGGAUUUACUGGGCGUAAAGGGUGUGUAGGCGGUUCCUUAAGUUUGCUGUGAAAUCUCCCGGCUUAACCGGGAGGGUGCGGUGAAUACUGAGGGACUAGAGUACGGGAGAGGAAAGUGGAAUUCCUGGUGUAGCGGUGAAAUGCGUAGAUAUCUGGAGGAACACCGGUGGCGAAGGCGGCAUCCUGGACCAAUACUGACACUGAGGAGCGAAAGCCAGGGGAGCAAACGGG
rnacentral:rRNA from 1 species